rnacentral:lncRNA from 1 species
UGUUUCUUGCCACACUCUCUCUCCCAGGUCUGCCCAAUGAUGUUCGUACUGGUGGUGAGGAAUAGAGACUGGGAAAGAUGAGAUGCAGAGGUGUGAGAAGGUUUUCUCUCAUUUUCUCCAAUAUAAAGAAAGGUUUAGGAUUCACUUGUCUUUGGUUCAAGGACAGAAGAACCAGACAAUUGCUACAGCACCAGAUCAUUGCUUGAGAUUCCCUGAAACUUCUCACAGGGUUACAAGGAAAUUGAGGGUACCGAUUAUCCUGUACUUCUAGCCCAGGGAAGAGUGAGGACUGCAACCAAAGCCUUAUCAGAGAAUACGUACUUCACAGACCACCUCACAGAUGAACUAGAUACAAGUUUACUACUUGUGCCUGUCUCAUCUUACCUACCUCACUUCCUUUCUGGAUAGAAAUGAAAAUUGGGAACCAACAGAGUAAGUAAAUACUAGAAAAUGAGAGAAAUGUUCUAAUAUUUAUUAGUAUGUUAUUCUUUAAAAGUUA